UGGGGUAUAGAUCAGUGGUAGAGCAUGUGCUUAGCAUGUAUCAGGUUCUGGGUUUGAUCCCCAACACCACAC
rnacentral:tRNA from 1 species